AAAUUAUUUAAGAAACCGUCAAAAAUGAAAAUCCAAAGCGUUUCUUCAUAUUCUAUUUGAAAAGUUAACUGAUGUACUUUUGGCAAAAAGUACUUAAUUUGGUAAACAGAAAUUUUAAACAUAACUUAUGUAAAUAUAUUUGUUUCAAAGUUACAGUUUAGUUUGUAAUAGUUUUAGUUUACUAUUAUUGUUUAAUUAUGUCACUGUGUACAUAUCUUGAAUGUACAGUUAAGUUUUGGUAUUGCGGGCUGCCAUAGAUUUAUUUAUAUGGGAGAUAACUCAGGGUUUACUUGCGACAAAAUUGCGGGACAAAUAAUAUUGUGUAUUUUCACCAGUUUAGAGCCAAAAUAAGUCAUGGUUAGUGUUAUACAUUUAUUAUUCAAUACAUUAAUGUUAGUUUUCCAUUGUCGCCAAGUAACAAAGCUUGUAUAAGCAAAGAAACAUUAGUUCUCCUGAAUUUCCCAUUCCAGCCUUGUGAUUUCUAUAUUUUGAGACUUUGUUUAUUUACUAUCCUAAUAGUUAAGACUGAUGCCUAUAGUUUAAGCGCAUUUAAAUAUAUUACUUUAUUUAAAUUGUAUUUUACUUUAGAGUAAAUUAACUCAGUAGUCCCAGAAUGUUUUAUUUUAGUAUGUGAGCUAGGUCCCCAGAGAUAACUUAAGUAGUUAUCCCCCCUUGAUAUGCAAAUUAGUUUGCAGGUGUUUGUUUUAAUUAGAGUAUUUUGUAUAUAAACUUGUUUGAGAUUAAUUACAUGUUUCAUUGUGGCAUGUCUAUGGAGAGUCAUUUUAAACAAUGCAGAUUGUUUAUAUUUAGUUUUAAUAUUUUAUAAAGAUGAUAAAAUUUAAUGUUUAGAAUUUUUUAGAAUACAAUUUGAAAUUUAUAAAUCUUUAGUCAAAAAUACAAUUUGAAAUUUAUAUCUGUUUGGUUAAGGCGUUAUAAAAUCACGUUCCUUAUUCAGGAAUAGACAUCAGUCAGAAUGUUUUAUCUUUAAAAUUCAUAUUUUAUUUGGUUUUAUUAUACUAAGCCAUGUAAAGGCUUAGUUUAGGAAAUUUUGAUAUUGUUAGUUUGCUGUCUAUUAUUAUGUUGUGAUGUAAUAUAUAUUAUAGACUCUGCCAUACGCUAUCAAGAAAUAAAGACUCUUUUUUAUUGAAUCCUUGGUUUUGACUAUUUUCAGGCCUGCCAAAGACAAUUGUGUCAGCUUUCUUUAAGAAGCACGCAGCACCCGAAAGUAAGCUCACCGAAUAGUUCAUCACCCUGCUCGCUCUACCCACACAAUAACUACACAGAAA
rnacentral:lncRNA from 1 species